CUGAUCGGCCACAUUGGGACUGAGACACGGCCCAAAUUCCUACGGGAGGCUGCAGUAGGGAAUCUUCCACAAUGGGCGAAAGCCUGAUGGAGCAACGCCGCGUGUGUGAUGAAGGCUUUCGGGUCGUAAAGCACUGUUGUAUGGGAAGAACAGCUAGAGUAGGGAAUGACUUUAGUUUGACGGUACCAUACCAGAAAGGGACGGCUAAAUACGUGCCAGCAGCCGCGGUAAUACGUAUGUCCCGAGCGUUAUCCGGAUUUAUUGGGCGUAAAGCGAGCGCAGACGGUUAAUUAAGUCUGAUGUGAAAGCCCGGAGCUCAACUCCGGAAAGGCAUUGGAAACUGGUUAACUUGAGUGCAGUAGAGGUAAGUGGAACUCCAUGUGUAGCGGUGGAAUGCGUAGAUAUAUGGAAGAACACCAGCGGCGAAGGCGGCUUACUGGACUGUAACUGACGUUGAGGCUCGAAAGUGUGGGUAGCAAACAGGAUUAGAUACCCUGGUAGUCCACACCGUAAACGAUGAACACUAGGUGUUAGGAGGUUUCCGCCUCUUAGUGCCGAAGCUAACGCAUUAAGUGUUCCGCCUGGGGAGUACGACCGCAAGGUUGAAACUCAAAGGAAUUGACGGGGACCCGCACAAGCGGUGGAGCAUGUGGUUUAAUUCGAAGCAACGCGAAGAACCUUACCAGGUCUUGACAUCCUUUGAAGCUUUUAGAGAUAGAAGUGUUCUCUUCGGAGACAAAGUGACAGGUGGUGCAUGGUCGUCGUCAGCUCGUGUCGUGAGAUGUUGGGUUAAGUCCCGCAACGAGCGCAACCCUUAUUGUUAGUUGCCAGCAUUCAGAUGGGCACUCUAGCGAGACUGCCGGUGACAAACCGGAGGAAGGCGGGGACGACGUCAGAUCAUCAUGCCCCUUAUGACCUGGGCUACACACGUGCUACAAUGGCGUAUACAACGAGUUGCCAACCUGUGAAGGUGAGCUAAUCUCUUAAAGUACGUCUCAGUUCGGACUGCAGUCUGCAACUCGACUGCACGAAGUCGGAAUCGCUAGUAAUCGCGGAUCAGCACGCCGCGGUGAAUACGUUCCCGGGUCUUGUACACACCGCCCGUCACACCAUGGGAGUUUGUAAUGCCCAAAGCCGGUGGCCUAACCGUAAGGAGGGAACCGUC
rnacentral:rRNA from 1 species